UCGGGAAUUUUGGGCAAUGGGCGAAAGCCUGACCCAGCAACGCCGCGUGAGGGAUGAAGGCCUUCGGGUCGUAAACCUCUGUCGGGAGGGAAGAAUGUCUUCGGGGUGAACAAUCCCGGAGGUUGACGGUACCUCUAGAGGAAGCGCCGGCUAACUCCGUGCCAGCAGCCGCGGUAAUACGGAGGGCGCAAGCGUUGUUCGGAAUCAUUGGGCGUAAAGCGCGUGUAGGCGGCUUGGUAAGUCGAGUGUGAAAUCCCGGGGCUCAACCCCGGAAGGUCGCUCGAAACUGCCUCGCUCGAGUCCCGGAGAGGAAGGCGGAAUUCCCGGUGUAGAGGUGAAAUUCGUAGAUAUCGGGAGGAACACCAGCGGCGAAGGCGGCCUUCUGGACGGUGACUGACGCUGAGACGCGAAAGCGUGGGGAGCAAACAGGAUUAGAUACCCUGGUAGUCCACGCCGUAAACGAUGAGUACUAGGUGUAGGAGGUAUCGACUCCUUCUGUGCCGCAGUUAACACAAUAAGUACUCCG
rnacentral:rRNA from 1 species